rnacentral:tmRNA from 1 species
GGGGUUGAACGGAAUUGACGGGUUGAGCAAUUGAUGAGUAAGCAUGUAGAGCGUUGUUCCUGUUGCUCUAUAAUCUGAAGGUUCAAAAAAUAAAAGGCGAAUACAACUUCGCAAUGGCUGCCUAAUCAGAGAUUAGGUAAAUGUCAUCCGCCUUCAUACCUCUUCUUCGGCAGGUAUGGUAAAAGGCGGUCGAAAAUCCGAAGAAAUUUAACAAAGGUUUCUGAUACUUGUUGAAUUUAUUAAUCAGAACAAGACUUUAAACGGUAAUCGUUAAACCUCCUAAAGUACUGAAACCAAUUAACGAUAAACAUGUAGAAAGCUCAAUUAAUUCCAUCGCCGGACCGGGGUUCGAAUCCCCGCAACUCCACUA